AAAAAGGGCUUCUGCCGUGCGUGGCACGGGGGGGGCCUCGGCCGCCCCCGCGGAAUCGACAUCAAGAGAUUUCGGAAGCACAAUUUUUGCGCGCGGGGCCGCCGGUAACCGACAGUGACGGCGCCCCA
rnacentral:snRNA from 1 species